rnacentral:rRNA from 1 species
UGCAUGUCUAAGUACAUGCCGUAUUAAGGCGAAACCGCGAAUGGCUCAUUAAAUCGGUUAUGGUUCCUUGGAUCGUACAUUACUACUUGGAUAACUGUGGCAAUUCUAGAGCUAAUACAUGCAGCAGAGCUCCGACCUUCGGGGACGAGCGCUUUUAUUAGACCAAAACCAAUCGGACCUCGUGUCCGUCCUUUGUGGGGACUCUGUAUAACUUUGGGCUGAUCGCGACGGGCCCGUCCCGGCGACGUCCUUCAAGUGUCUGCCUUAUCAACUUUCGAUGGUAGGUUUACACAACUACCAUGGUCGUAACGGUAAACGGGGAAUCUGGGUUCGAUUCCGGAGAGGGUGCCUGUAAACGGCUUCCCACAUCCAAGGAAGGCAGCAGGCGCGCAAUUACCCACUCCCAGAACGGGGAGGUAGGGCGAAAAAUACCAAUCCGGGACUCUUUUGAGACCCCGNAAUUGGAAUGAGUCCGCUCUAAAUCCUUUAACGAGGAUCCAUUGGAGGGCAAGUCUGGUGCCAGACCGCCCGGUAAUUCCAGCUCCAAUAGCGUAUAUUAAAGUUGUUGCGGUUAAAAAGCUCGUAGUUGGAUCUCAGUUCCAGACGGGUGGUCCGCCAACCGGUGGUUACUGCCUGUUCUGAACAGCCAGCCGGUUUCUCUUGAUGAUCUUCACCGGUUGUCUUGGGUGACCGGCAAGUUUACUUUGAAAAAAUUAGAGUGCUCAAAGCAGGCGUGACGCCUGAAUAAUGGUGCAUGGAAUAAUGGAAUAGGACCUCGGUUCUAUUUUGUUGGUUUUCGGAACACGAGGUAAUGAUUAAGAGGGACAGACGGGGGCAUUCGUAUUGCGACGCUAGAGGUAAA